rnacentral:lncRNA from 1 species
AUGAUGGUGAUUAUAAGCAACUCUGUUAAUAUAUUUUUAAAAUAUUUUUUAUAGUUCAAUAUACAAUAGAAUUUCAAAAAUUUAGUUUGCUGCAUAUACAUAUAUUACUUUGAUUGGGUUUGGAGCACAAAUAUCCAAUAGCAAUAGAUAUAAAUUUAAUAAUAUGUAUUAAGUUACUUGAUAAAUUUUCUGAUCCUUUUGGGUAUGAAUGUAUUAUAAAGUUUUUGAUGCAUAAUCCAUGUGGAUUAGAAAAUAUGAAAUCUCUAUGCAUGACCAA